rnacentral:rRNA from 1 species
UACGAACCGUGCGAACGUUGUUCGGAAUCACUGGGCUUAAAGGGCGCGUAGGCGGGCGGCCGCGUCCGGGGUGAAAUCCCGCCGCUCAACGGCGGAACGGCCUCGGAUACGGGCGGCCUCGAGGGGGGUAGGGGCGUGCGGAACUCUGGGUGGAGCGGUGAAAUGCGUUGAUAUCCAGAGGAACUCCGGUGGCGAAGGCGGCACGCUGGACCCCUUCUGACGCUGAGGCGCGAAAGCCAGGGGAGCGAACGGG